GACGUAGGGCGCGAGCGUUGUCCGGAUUUAUUGGGCGUAAAGAGCUCGUAGGCGGCUUGUCGCGUCGUCCGUGAAAACUCACAGCUCAACUGUGAGCUUGCGGUCGAUACGGGCAGGCUAGAGUUCGGUAGGGGAGACUGGAAUUCCUGGUGUAGCGGUGAAAUGCGCAGAUAUCAGGAGGAACACCGAUGGCGAAGGCAGGUCUCUGGGCCAUAACUGACGCUGAGAAGCGAAAGCAUGGGGAGCGAACAGG
rnacentral:rRNA from 1 species